UACCAACAGCCCGAGUGGUCGGCACGUUCAUUGGGCCUAAAGCAUGCGUAGCCGGUUCUACAAGUCUUCCGUUAAAUCCAACUGCUUAACAGGUGGGCUGCGGAAGAUACUAUAGAGCUAGGAGGCGGGAGAGGCAAGCGGUACUCGAUGGGUAGGGGUAAAAUCCGUUGAUCCAUUGAAGACCACCAGUGGCGAAGGCGGCUUGCCAGAACGCGCUCGACGGUGAGGGAUGAAAGCUGGGGGAGCAAACCGG
rnacentral:rRNA from 1 species